GUUGUUGGGGGAAACUGCUUUGCUGAAGGGCAGACUUUUCCACCUUGCCGGCUCGGGAAUCCAAGCCAGCAACCGUUCGUUACUUGCCCAAUGCUCUUAACCCCUAUGGCUACCUACCGCUCCAUGAGGUUGUGAGUUCAAAUCCCAGGUCGCGGGGGUUGAAAGGCAUGGGGGAGCAGCGGACGGGGACUGGCAGCCCUGGAUCUCUUCCUCCAACYGGAUAAUGCUGCCAGCCGCUGUGCCUGCUGGCUGUGUGGACUCCACAUGGCCGUGGGGAGCCCCUUCCCUACUACUCUGGGCUUUCACAGUACACUUCCUGAAGAGGAGCCACGCUCUGCAUGCUGACCUUCAAUGGACUGAAGUCAUUUUCUGAAAGAGGGAGAAAAGCAACAGUCUUCCAACAACCUUCUACCRCCCCACCACCACCAACAUAAAAACCUGAAGGACCGUCAUCGGAACACCAUUCUCAAAGUGGGGGGGUUUCGAUGCCAGCGACCUGUCAUCAACAUCUGGCUCGGAUGAGCAUUCCUCAGAGACUCAGAGACGAGGCCUACCGCAAACUAUUCAAUAAAAUUCCAUAUUGUG